rnacentral:lncRNA from 1 species
CUUCGGUGGCCUCUCGGUGAAGGUUGGAGGAGAAAGAGGAGGAAGGCAUCGUGUACCGUUCUGUCCUCCGGAACCUCGGUUCAUCGGGAAUACAAACAGAAAUGGAAGCAAAGCGAUAACUUUGCACUGCGAGAAUAGAUGAAGCGAGUGCGAAGAUGGAGACGCUUCGUCGAAGGAUGUUACCAUAGUUGGAGGAGGGAGGAAUACCCCACCAGCACACACACACGGUAUGCCACGCGUGAUCGAGUUACUUGGACGAACUGGCCUGGCACAGGUGAGGUGAGGUUGGUAUACGGCCUGCGGGACAAAGAACCGCAAGAAAUACCGAUACUACCUUGCUUCGGGAUUUAAAGUCGCUGUUCGAACGAAAAGUAUCUCAGCACCGUUAUCCCUACUCGAUGAUGAAUAUUUUGACGCGUAUCAUGAAUCGUGGGAAAUAGUUCUUAGGACUCGCGUUGUUCGCUUAUAAAUAUCAAUUCUCAAUCCAAAUUCAACGCAUUCGUCCAAGUAUAAUCUAUUUUUUGUUCUAUCUAAAUGAAGUUUCAUAGUCGUCGUUUAGCGAUAUACACUUGUAUUCGAUUUCUUUUGUCGAAGACUAAAAUUCAUUGAUCAUUCUUCGAAUGCUAUAUAACGUUCGAAUCGCGAUCGCAACCGCACCCUUAGAAGGUCGUAGACACGUAAAACCUUCAAAGAAGAUAUCGUUACACCGAAACGUCGAUACUUGGUAACAUUGCCUCAUCCUCCUGUGCUGUGGUUUAUGUUAAAGUUCUUCAGUGAUCUCGCGCGUCGUAUCUACGUAUCAUGAGCAAAAGGCUACAAAAGUAGCGAAAUCUUUGCCGAAGGAACGCAUUUAUAUUGUCGUUAAUGAAAUCAAAUAAUAAAACGCAAGUCAACGCUGUUACCAUUGCUCAGGAUUUACGGA